GACGAACCGUCCAAACGUUAUUCGGAAUCACUGGGCUUAAAGGGUGCGUAGGCGGCGCGGGAAGUUGGGUGUGAAAUCCCUCGGCUCAACCGAGGAACUGCGCCCAAAACUCCCGUGCUUGAGGGAGACAGAGGUGAGCGGAACUUAGGGUGGAGCGGUGAAAUGCGUUGAUAUCCUAAGGAACACCAGUGGCGAAAGCGGCUCACUGGGUCUUUUCUGACGCUGAGGCACGAAAGCUAGGGGAGCGAACGGGAUUAGAUACCCCGGUAGUCCUAGCUGUAAACGUUGAGCACUGGGCCGGAGAGUCCUCCAUAGCUUUCCGGCCGUAGCGAAAGUGUUAAGUGCUCCGCCUGGGGAGUAUGGUCGCAAGGCUGAA
rnacentral:rRNA from 1 species